AAGAUUGGUUGCGAUCUGGGUGAGUUACGGUGGUCCAAUUUGGUGGAUGCGCGAGGAAGGGUUCUCACAAUGGUGCGUUAAUGGGUUUCGCAGGUUGUGAAAAAGAUGGUUUCUAGAGAUGCAGGAUUUGGGAAGCUCGCGAUUAAGGUUGUUGAAGGAUUGUGGCGGCACAUGGUGGAGCUCGUGGCGACAAGAGGUGGUUGUUGGUUGAGGGAUAUUGAUGGCAGCACAAGGAAG
rnacentral:sRNA from 1 species